CGCAUAUUAUUAUGCAGUAUAUAACAGUGCUUCUAAGAACAAGACAUUAAAUCGCUAUAUUAGAGAAAUCGACUUUUCCACGAAAUCGUUUUCAUGGAAGAAAUACCUUUAUAAUAUAUUGGUAGUAGUGUAGUACAACAAGUAACAACCAUACAAAUCACAUUAUUUUCUUCCGAGUCAUCAUACAUUUCGUGAAUUAUAAUUUUCCGUGUGUUAAAAGGGUUAGGGAAUUGCGAAACGGUCGCCCUGAACAAUUUCAAGACGCGGACUUAUCUUGUUGCUGCGGCAAGCAGUUCGGUUUAUUACACACGCAACCCCCGUGUAUUCUACGUCGUACAGAGUGGUGUAAGCUGUAAGCAACACAAUAUUCCCCUCAUACGGAUUACCACAUAAAGUAUACCUACCUAACAUUAGGUAUAGAUACGUAAUAUUUCAUCUUGACGAGUGCCUACCAACCUAUGCGCAUAAUAUUAUAACGCGCGCUGUACAAAUAAUCGUUUAGUCACGACAGACGACGGCACACACAUCAAAGAGGCUCGGCAGUCGUGGUGUGCGCGUGAAGAGACCUAUCAGUCAUAGAGACGGAGCGACGCGGAGAGCGCUCACGCGACCGGUUAAUCAGAGUCCUAUUGAACGCGUCCCGCUGCUGCCGCCACAAUGGACAGUUUCUCCGGUGUCGGGCGAAUAUUAUAUUCACCCUAUUUCACGGUACGUCAGACUCAUUUCAGAAACAAUUAGGAACCCAUUCACCGUGCCCUGGAAAUCCGACCGCCGGACAAUGCGGCAAUUAUAUUUUGUAAUUGCGCUCGUAUACCCAACAAUCGAUUUAUAUAUUAUAUUAUAUACCUUUUUAUUA